rnacentral:lncRNA from 1 species
UAACUAACAGCAUAGAGUUUGUGCCUUGAGGUUCAGCUUUGCUGUUGUUAUAUUGCUGUCACAUGGUUUUAUGCUAAUCUUUUAGAUUAAAUGGUAAAUAUAGAAGUCUUUAUUCAAUUAACAAAGAAGUAGUCAUUAAGGGAUGGUGAUUGAAAUAAAAUGGUGAGAAAUAUUAUCCUCUUAAAUAAGAAAUUACUGCAUGAGUGGACAAAAGCAGUACAGCAAGGGAUGGAAUAAAACUGGAAAAGAGCAAAAGCAAAUGAGACAUGCCUCAGAUCUCUGUUUAGAAGGAACUUUUGAUAAGAAACUGGUCAGCCGUUCUGAGAGUGGUGGAAAGCCUGUCAAGGUCACUACCAAGGACAAGAGAGUCAAUUAG